UCCGUAGGUGAACCAGCGGAGGGAUCAUUACUGAGUUUACGCUCUACAACCCUUUGUGAACAUACCUAUAACUGUUGCUUCGGCGGGUAGGGUCUCCGCGACCCUCCCGGCCUCCCGCCUCCGGGCGGGUCGGCGCCCGCCGGAGGAUAACCAAACUCUGAUUUAACGACGUUUCUUCUGAGUGGUACAAGCAAAUAAUCAAAACUUUUAACAACGGAUCUCUUGGUUCUGGCAUCGAUGAAGAACGCAGCGAAAUGCGAUAAGUAAUGUGAAUUGCAGAAUUCAGUGAAUCAUCGAAUCUUUGAACGCACAUUGCGCCCGCCAGCAUUCUGGCGGGCAUGCCUGUUCGAGCGUCAUUUCAACCCUCAAGCUCUGCUUGGUGUUGGGGCCCUACAGCCGAUGUAGGCCCUCAAAGGUAGUGGCGGACCCUCCCGGAGCCUCCUUUGCGUAGUAACUUUACGUCUCGCACUGGGAUCCGGAGGGACUCUUGCCGUAAAACCCCCCAAUUUUCCAAAGGUUGACCUCGGAUCAGGUAGGAAUACCCGCUGAACUUAAGCAUAUCA
rnacentral:rRNA from 1 species